CAUUUUCGAUUUUUUUUUUUCUCGCGAUUAUUUUGGCGAUCCCAUUUCGCGUCGCGACGGGCAAUAUCACGGGGCCAGGGGUGUCGGCCUCGAAACGAGCUUUCCGAAAAGUACUUACGGGCCCCGUGAGUCCAUCGGGAUUGAAAGUUAGGCACGACAACGCAAAGAAGUGCGAAUUCUGUAUGCGGAUAAAUUUCAAUUUUGGUAUUACGUCGUACAUAAGUAGUAUUGUGUUAAUUGUGUUAAUUGAGUCGUUUAAAAAGCCGGAAGUUGAACACUAUAGACUUUUCUCGAGAAGAGAAAUUGAGUCGCUUCAAGUAAAUUUACAAUGCAUAACAUGAC
rnacentral:misc_RNA from 1 species